ensembl:snoRNA SNORA70 Small nucleolar RNA SNORA70
AAGAGUUUCAUUAAAAAAUGUUAUCUUCAAGUCGACUGUGCUCUUUCUCCAUGGGGGCCCAAAGAGUAGCCUCCUUGGUGGUGUAUGCAGCCGGCUGAUUGUAUGGGUUGCCCUAAGGGACCUUGGAGACAGCC